GUGGUAUCUGUUUACUGGUAAAUAAAGCCUUAUCUGCUGGCUUUAGCUAUUUGCUUCCUAUCUCCUACUACAUGGAUUCAUGUUAAUACUGGAAAUGUGAUUAGCCUCCCAUUUGGUACUUGUUUGGUUAUUCUAUAGCUGCUUAGAAACACUUUCUUUUUCUUUCUCUCUUUUUUUUUUUUUUUUUUUUUUGCUGUAGCUAUGGAGAGACUUUGAAGAUAUUCCUGGAUUUCGGGGGUGGGAAACAAAACAAAUUUCAGGCUGAGCACUAUUUAAAAAAGUGUCCCCCCCUACUACUCAGAAGUAAUUUACUUUAUUGUUACUUCCUGUGUUUUGCUAUCAACAACCCCCCAUGACAUCAGCGGCUCUUGGUUAAAAGCUGCUCACGGAUUCCUUGACAGGCUUUUGCUGUUUAAUUGUUUCAGGCUCACUUAAAUACGUCAUAUGCACAGAACCCAUGGGGCUCUCUUGAAUUCUU
rnacentral:lncRNA from 1 species